GACUAUGGUCCCUACAUGUCAGGACAUUUUUGCCUACUGACUCCGUUUCUCUUCUGUCCCCAUUUCUCUCCCAAAAACAAAUCUCGUCAGAUUGUGGUCGUCGGGGAGGUUGGGUGCGACGGGGGCGGCCACCGGCGAGUUGAUACGGGGCGGCGGCUUCCCGCCCGCCGGCACCAGUUGCCUGGAACGCGCUGAUGGGGGCAGCCCUGCCGCGGGCUCGCAGAUCAAGGCAGGGGCGGCUGCCGUGCAGCCGCAGACUGGUCGGGGUCGGGGAAGCGGUCGGAGACGGAGAAGCCAUGCGCGCGGGUGAUGGGGGCGUCGGCGAAGAACCAGAAGAACACGGCAAGCGGCGGGAGCUCCACAGGGGAGUUGAACGGGGCUGCGAGUAUUUUUGGCAGUGUGGCUGACGGAGUUCCAGGGGCGGGAGGGGGGCGGGGGAAGAUGGAGCUUGGCCGACGCGGUGGGGGAGGUCGACGAGGUGCUCGAGAUCACCGUCGAUUUCUCGCCGCAGCGUCGACAGCGAAUGGCGAGCGCUAUAGGGGGUUUGCAGUCGGUCGGCGUUGGGAUUUGGGAGGGCCUCUGCCUGUCGCACGACGCGUUUCUGUGGGUUGAGCAAACAGGGUUCUGCAGCUGAUACGAGAUCGGAGGGCGCAACGAGCACACCGAUUUUCUCCCAAUUUCACGAAGUAGUAGUGUUGCAUGACGCCGAUUGAAAUUAGUGUCGCAGAGGCUCCCAAUGAGAUAACCGGUGUGGAGCCUACCUUAGAGAAGACGGUGAGGCUCCCAAGGUUUUUAUCUAGACGAAGUUGCUUUGACCAAACAAUGCUACAUUAUCAAUACAUUGAAAAUUGCUGUACAAAAUAGAGAAGUCGCUUUUUAAAGUAGUUGCUAUAGAGAAUAGAAAAAUUGCUAUAGAGAAUAGAGAAUUUGCUUUUCCAAAUUUGCCUUAUCUUACUCUAGUUCGAAUUCAAAUACCUUUAAACUAUCACCUAGUUGUAGCGAUUUUUGUUGCGCGGUUCUAGGUUUCCAAUUUCUAUCGAUUUUUGUCGAGCGGUUCUAGGUUUGCCCCGAUUCGAGAUCACUGCAUUUCCGUCUAUGUAUCUAACCGAAAAUGCUGAUUGGGUCACGCUGCAGUUUUGGUCAAGUUCCCUCUAAGUUGUUCGAAUCAAUCUAGUGUCCAUCUAGUAGUAAGGUCAGGCUAAUUUGUUUUUUGUCGGCUGCUGGGUCAUGAGUUGCUAGACUAAGUGUGUGAUUAGUUACUUUUUGGUCGCUCAACUAUUCUAGUAAAGGUUGCAUCAUAUCCUAAAUUUUGUACUACAAGUUGCCACUCUAGCCACCCUUUUUUCUAGAUUUUCCUUUAAGAUAGGUAAAUUUUUUGACUAGAAAUUGCAUUACAUAGUCAAUUUUAUUAAGCAACUUCUUUCAUCCUUGUGCAUUCAGUUUUCCUUUUUUUUUAUGGUUGUUGUGACAACUAGUUACUUCCCCGGGGCACUAUGCCGGAUAAAAGUUGCUUACUACCCAAAUUUUUAACUGGUAGUUGCUGGACUAGCUACGCUUUUUUUUGCUUUUGUGUAUAACUUGCUUUUCUCACCUGACAUUGACCAGAAAUUGCAUUAUGAUCAAAUAUUUGAAUAGUUGAUAAUUAGGUGAAGCAGUUUUUGCUUCAAUGAGUAUUGAAUUUUUGCUUUUUUUUAUGCUUCUGUAAUAAUAAGUUGCUUCUCUCGGGCGCUCACACUUUUUCAAAUAAAAGUUGCUUACUAUCAAGUUUUUGAACUAGUAGUUGUUGGACUAGUUAUGCAUUUCUGCUUUUGUGCUUUUCUCACUGUGACAUUGAAUAGAAAUUGCAUUAUAUUGCCAAAUUUCUGACUAGUUGAUAAUUAGUUGAAAACAGUUUUUGCUAGAAGGGCAUUUUUUUUCACAAACAAUCAAGCUUCUGAGCAUCCCAGAUUAUCUGGAUCACUCCUCUCAAGUUGACCGACAGCAUGCUAGUGCAGUGCCCACAACGGAGAGUCAUGAUGUUCAGCAUGCUAUUACUUGGAACGCUGACCUGGAUAUAUUGAUCACAUAUAAGGAGAACAAUGUUAGGUUUCUUGAGUUAAUUAGUACUGCAAAGAACAUUGAUAGUUGAAUUAUAAAAAUUACUAGUUCAAGCCCAGAUGACAGAUCAAUGAUCAAAUGCUAAAUUCCAUGGAAUGAUUUUCAAAAGAACGACAUCAAAAUAACAGAUAAUAAGGCAGAAACAGAAGAAUAAAAUAACAAGCUCUCUUUGAAUGAAGCAACAAAUGCUAAAUUAUAAAGAAACAUUUUCAAAAGGCUGGUGCAGAGCUAUCCAGACAUAUAUACACACAGAACUUGCUAGACUAGCUACGCCUUUUUAGCUUGUUGCUUGUUUAAAUUGCUCUCCCUUGACUAGACUUUACAUGUCCUGCAUCAUUGAGUAUUCAUCGUAGACAAAACAGUGGCUGUACUAAGAAAUGUAGCAGCAUUAUUCAGUUUUGGCAGCCUUAUUGCAGACUUUUUUUUUUUGGCAGUAGGCAUCCAUGAAUACAAUUGAGGAGAAAGAAGCAGCUGGAGUACCCAAAGAUGCUGAAAAUGGGGAUUUACUGCCUCAUCGCAGGAGGCCAGUGCACCAAUAUAUUCAACAACUUUCAAUCGCAGAACAUGAGGGAGGGACAACAAAUAGGCCAAGUAAAGUACAAGCCUCAUCGUAGGCGGGCAUGUCGCUAGUUUUUGAAGUGGGGAGGUACAACAUAUAUGUCAAGUAUAGUACAAGCAUCAGUUCUGAUGGGGGCUUCCAGAACUUGAUUGUUGCUUUUGGUUGUUUGUAGUUAACAGGUUUUGAGCAGCAUCAUAUGCUUAUUUUUUCUCCAGGUCAUUUGAUUUGCCUAUAUGUGUGCUCACACUCUUUUAUUUAUUAUCAGCAAUACAACUACUGGAAGCAUGACUUCCUUUCUCACCCA